CAGUCGCCGCGGGAAUACGUAGGUGGCAAGCGUUGUCCGGAAUUAUUGGGCGUAAAGGGCUCGCAGGCGGUUUCUUAAGUCUGAUGUGAAAGCCCCCGGCUCAACCGGGGAGGGUCAUUGGAAACUGGGAAACUUGAGUACAGAAGAGGAGAGUGGAAUUCCACGUGUGGCGGUGAAAUGCGUAGAGAUGUGGAGGAACACCAGUGGCGAAGGCGACUCUCUGGUCUGUAACUGACGCUGAGGAGCGAAAGCGUGGGGAGCGAACAGGAUUAGAUACCCCCGUAGUCCCUGUCUCUUAUAC
rnacentral:rRNA from 1 species